rnacentral:miRNA from 1 species
AGUGCACCCAGGCAAGGAUUCUGC